rnacentral:lncRNA from 10 species
GAUUUUGUAACUUCCUGAAGGAUCUUCUGAAUCACAGAAGACAGAUUAAUGCUUAAGUGUGUUUCAUUAUAUUCUAAUUCUUGGAAAAGUUAUAAUCUAGCUAUGGCAAUAAUCAACAUAACUGCUUGCAUCGGGGUAGUACUUCAGAGUUGAUAAGGUGCUUUCAUACAUAUUACCUCAUGUAAUUCUCACAAAAGCCCAGUGAAGUCUGUUGCAUUCUCUUUUCAGUUUAAUAGAAAACAGGGCUUAGUCAUCAGGUGAUUUUAUUGAUUUGAGCAACACUCAGUUCAAGCUUUUCUGCUACAGUAGCCAUUCAGCAAAACCACUCCUUAUCCAAACUUUCUGUAUAAACAGGAAUUUGCUCUAGGUUCUACGUGCUGGAGACAGAAUCAUAAAAUGUGAAAGAUGGAAGCUGAAGCCUGGAAGUUAAGAGACUGACUCAGGAUCAACCUGCCCCUGAUCCCCUGACUUUUCCCAACAUCCCAUGUUGUCUCAUAACUUGAUUCAAUGACCCACACCAAUUUUGUAACCCUCAACACAGUGAGGACAGUUAUCACGUCCUUGCUUAGUCAUUUUGCCUCCAGAUGAAACGUCCUUAAUUGGUCCAAAGAUAACUCCUCCACUGCAGUUUGUAGACCCUUACCAACCUGCCUGCCUCCUCCAGAGAUCUAUGUGGCUUCAAUUCCUAAACGCAGCAGUAGGAACAGGACUAGCAUUUUUCUUUCUCUGGACAAUAUACUUCUAUUGAUAGUAACAGCUAGCAAUUACUGAACAUUUACACUGAAUCUUAUCACUGCAAUGAUUAUUAUUCUUUUUUUACAGAUGAGAAAACUGUAGCACACAGAGAUGGAAGUGGUGGUGCCAUGACAGAGAUCCAGGUGGUCUAGCUCUACAGUGUCAACUCUUAACACCCCACCAUAGUGCUUUUUGUGUAGCCUAAUAACAGCAAUGCACUUACUUGUAAGCAAGUGAUUGCUAUGUGCCAGGAGUCAUUCUA